rnacentral:lncRNA from 1 species
GGGGUGCACCAGGGCAGCAGCUACAGGGCUCUCCUCCCAAGCACCCAACCAGCAAGAUGGGUCUGAGGAUACCUGUGAGAAGUAAUUCAACACAUCUUUCACAUAUGAGCCAAUUUGUUGGUCUAAGUUAAAUCGGAGUGACAAGGACACCUGCUUAAAGAAGACGAGGUUUCACCGUGUUAGACAGGAUGGUCUCGAUCUCCUGACCUCGUGAUCUGCCUGCCUCGGCCUCCCAAAGUGCUGGGAUUACAGGCUUGAGCCACCAAGUCCGGCCUCAGACCAUUUUUCUAGAGAUGCAAGCUACAGCUGACAGAGCCGAGGUCGUCUCCUCCAGGUCCCAGAGCUGCUACGUGGCUGAGCUGCAGUUCAGAGCCAGGGUACUCAGCUUGCAAGCCUGUGCCCUCUCCUCCGUGGCAUGCUUCUCCCAGGCUGGCACUGAAUCACCGGAAGGACUCCUUAAGACAUGGAUAGGGGAUCCACCCCAGAGGUCCUGAAUCAGCAAGUCUGGGGAGGAGACUGAGAAUUGACUUUUCUAUCAAGUUCCCCAGUGAUGCUGAUGCUGCUGGUGUGCGUACGACGUUCUGGAACCUCCGCUCCCUGCUCUACUGCCUUCUGGGUGGAGCCCUAGAGCUGAGCUCCCAGCUGUGGGCAUGGCAGGCACUGAAGAGUGUUGCUUUAGGGUAAUGUGUUAACAGUCUAAGAAGGUGCGUGGUGAGUAGGCUGACCAUUUCUCUCUCUUAUUGAACAAAAUAUUGCUAAGCCCUGGAUUUUCUCAGCUGUAAAUCACUGAAAUCUGAAUAAAA